AUUUACAAAGAUUACAAUCUCCGAAAGGAAAGACUUUCUGAAAUUUACCUUCUUGGAAUUCGGACGAACAAUAUUGUGCCUGAAGGUCUUGACCAGCGUAGCAGAUCCAUUUUCAAGUACAGUUUCUCUAGGUGAACCACACUGUGACAUCCUUAGGAUUGAAGACAAUUCUGCUUCUGAUGAUAGAUCAGAAAUACAUCAGGCAGAACAUCACCUCGAGGAAUCUAGCUCCACCAAAAAUCCACCAGAG